CCUACGGGGAGCAGCAGUGGGGGAUAUUGCACAAUGGGGGGAACCCUGAUGCAGCGACGCCGCGUGGGUGAAGAAGCGCCUCGGCGCGUAAAGCCCUGUCAGCAGGGAAGAAAAUGACGGUACCUGAAGAAGAAGCCCCGGCUAACUACAUGCCAGCAGCCGCGGUAAUACGUAGGGGGCAAGCGUUAUCCGGAUUUACUGGGUGGAAAGGGGGCGCAGACGGCGAUGCAAGCCAGGAGUGAAAGCCCGGGGCCCAACCCCGGGACUGCUCUUGGAACUGCGUGGCUGGAGUGCAGGAGGGGCAGGCGGAAUUCCGGGUGUAGCGGUGAAAUGCGUAGAUAUCAGGAGGAACACCGGUGGCGAAGGCGGCCUGCUGGACUGCAACUGACGUUGAGGCCCGAAAGCGUGGGGAGCAAACAGGAUUAGAUACCCCAGUAGUC
rnacentral:rRNA from 1 species